UACGUAGGGUGCAAGCGUUAUCCGGAAUUAUUGGGCGUAAAGAGCUCGUAGGCGGUUUGUCACGUCUGCUGUGAAAACUGGAGGCUCAACCUCCAGCCUGCAGUGGGUACGGGCAGACUAGAGUGCGGUAGGGGAGAUUGGAAUUCCUGGUGUAGCGGUGGAAUGCGCAGAUAUCAGGAGGAACACCGAUGGCGAAAGCAGGUCACUGGACCCGUAUUGACGCUCAUCCACGAAAGCGUGGGGAGCAAACAGG
rnacentral:rRNA from 1 species